AAGAAACCAGCGUCAAACUACUUUCUCACCUCUUCUCUGAUCUUGAGAGCCAUAUCAGGUCGUGUCCUUCUUAGCUUUUGUUUAACAGCAAGGCGUUCUUCUUUAAGGGGAAGCUUGUGAGUCACAAUAUCAGUGUCUAAUCCGGGCAUGUCUUGGUAUGACCAAGCAAACACAUAGUCAUAUUCGUGGAUGAGCUCUAUCAGUCUUGUCUUCACUUUAUCUUGAAGCGUUGCGC
rnacentral:lncRNA from 1 species